AAUCAACGCCUGAUGACGAAAUUGGCCAAUUUAAUAUUUAUGUAAGUUUAGGAGGCAUUAAAUUUAUUUAAAAUGGGCAAUUUCAGCAGUACCGCUGUCAAACUUGUAAAUUUCGUAAAUACCCCUCUAAACUUCAAAGUAUCAUAAAUAUCCCUUCAAACACAUAAAAUUUUCAUAACUGUCCUUGCCGUUAACGGUGAGUCACUUUACCCAGGUUAAU
rnacentral:lncRNA from 1 species